rnacentral:rRNA from 1 species
GGAAUCUUCCGCAAUGGGCGAAAGCCUGACGGAGCAACGCCGCGUGAGUGAUGAAGGUCUUCGGAUCGUAAAACUCUGUUAUCAGGGAAGAACAAAUGUGUAAGUAACUGUGCACAUCUUGACGGUACCUGAUCAGAAAGCCACGGCUAACUACGUGCCAGCAGCCGCGGUAAUACGUAGGUGGCAAGCGUUAUCCGGAAUUAUUGGGCGUAAAGCGCGCGUAGGCGGUUUUUUAAGUCUGAUGUGAAAGCCCACGGCUCAACCGUGGAGGGUCAUUGGAAACUGGAAAACUUGAGUGCAGAAGAGGAAAGUGGAAUUCCAUGUGUAGCGGUGAAAUGCGCAGAGAUAUGGAGGAACACCAGUGGCGAAGGCGACUUUCUGGUCUGUAACUGACGCUGAUGUGCGAAAGCGUGGGGAUCAAACA